rnacentral:rRNA from 1 species
GACGAACGCUGGCGGCGUGCUUAACACAUGCAAGUCGAACGGAAAGGCCCUGCUUUUGUGGGGUGCUCGAGUGGCGAACGGGUGAGUAACACGUGAGUAACCUGCCCUUGACUUUGGGAUAACUUCAGGAAACUGGGGCUAAUACCGGAUAGGAGCUCCUGCUGCAUGGUGGGGGUUGGAAAGUUUCGGCGGUUGGGGAUGGACUCGCGGCUUAUCAGCUUGUUGGUGGGGUAGUGGCUUACCAAGGCUUUGACGGGUAGCCGGCCUGAGAGGGUGACCGGCCACAUUGGGACUGAGAUACGGCCCAGACUCCUACGGGAGGCAGCAGUGGGGAAUAUUGCACAAUGGGCGGAAGCCUGAUGCAGCAACGCCGCGUGCGGGAUGACGGCCUUCGGGUUGUAAACCGCUUUCGCCUGUGACGAAGCGUGAGUGACGGUAAUGGGUAAAGAAGCACCGGCUAACUACGUGCCAGCAGCCGCGGUGAUACGUAGGGUGCGGGCGUUGUCCGGAUUUAUUGGGCGUAAAGGGCUCGUAGGUGGUUGAUCGCGUCGGAAGUGUAAUCUUGGGGCUUAACCCUGAGCGUGCUUUCGAUACGGGUUGACUUGAGGAAGGUAGGGGAGAAUGGAAUUCCUGGUGGAGCGGUGGAAUGCGCAGAUAUCAGGAGGAACACCAGUGGCGAAGGCGGUUCUCUGGGCCUUUCCUGGCGCUGAGGAGCGAAAGCGUGGGGAGCGAACAGGCUUAGAUACCCUGGUAGUCCACGCUGUAAACGGUGGGUACUAGGUGUGGGGUCCAUUCCACGGGUUCCGUGCCGUAGCUAACGCUUUAAGUACCCCGCCUGGGGAGUACGGCCGCAAGGCUAAAACUCAAAGGAAUUGACGGGGCCCCGCACAAGCGGCGGAGCAUGCGGAUUAAUUCGAUGCAACGCGUAGAACCUUACCUGGGUUUGACAUGGAUCGGGAGUGCUCAGAGAUGGGUGUGCCUCUUUUGGGGUCGGUUCACAGGUGGUGCAUGGCUGUCGUCAGCUCGUGUCGUGAGAUGUUGGGUUAAGUCCCGCAACGAGCGCAACCCUUGUUCACUGUUGCCAGCACGUUAUGGUGGGGACUCAGUGGAGACCGCCGGGGUCAACUCGGAGGAAGGUGGGGAUGACGUCAAGUCAUCAUGCCCCUUAUGUCCAGGGCUUCACGCAUGCUACAAUGGCUGGUACAGAGAGUGGCGAGCCUGUGAGGGUGAGCGAAUCUCGGAAAGCCGGUCUCAGUUCGGAUUGGGGUCUGCAACUCGACCUCAUGAAGUCGGAGUCGCUAGUAAUCGCAGAUCAGCAACGCUGCGGUGAAUACGUUCCCGGG